CUCUCUGUAGCGCAUUGGCUAGCGCGUUUGACUUCUAAUCAAAAGGUCGUGGGUUCGAAUCCCACCUGGGAUG
rnacentral:tRNA from 1 species